UGGCUCCUCCUGGUGCUUACUAAAAUU
rnacentral:piRNA from 1 species